rnacentral:tRNA from 1 species
GCCUGCAUAGCUCAGUUGGUGAGAGCGCCGCCUUCAUACAGCGGAGGGCCCACGUUCAAGUCGUGGUGCAGGUA